rnacentral:rRNA from 1 species
GACGAACGCUGGCGGCGUGCCUAAUACAUGCAAGUAGAACGCUGAAGGAGGAGCUUGCUUCUCCAGAUGAGUUGCGAACGGGUGAGUAACGCGUAGGUAACCUGCCUGGUAGCGGGGGAUAACUAUUGGAAACGAUAGCUAAUACCGCAUAAGAGUAGAUGUCGCAUGACAUUUGCUUAAAAGGUGCAACUGCACCACUACCAGAUGGACCUGCGUUGUAUUAGCUAGUUGGUGAGGUAACGGCUCACCAAGGCAACGAUACAUAGCCGACCUGAGAGGGGGAUCGGCCACACUGGGACUGAGACACGGCCCAGACUCCUACGGGAGGCAGCAGUAGGGAAUCUUCGGCAAUGGACGGAAGUCUGACCGAGCAACGCCGCGUGAGUGAAGAAGGUUUUCGGAUCGUAAAGCUCUGCUGUAAGAGAAGAACGAGUGUGAGAGUGGAAAGUUCACACUGUGACGGUAUCUUACCAGAAAGGGACGGCUAACUACGUG